AGAACGAUACCCUACUUACAUCUAUACUACAAUUGUCAAAAAGAGGGUUUAAUUUGUGUGUUAACUUAUUUUACGCAUCAAAUUUUGAUAGGCGCAGGUCAACAGGCGCGCGGAAAGAAGAGAGGGCCACGCCACAGAAGCAGAAACAAGCAGGGCACAGAGAGCAAAGCUUCACUCUAUUUUCUUGGUUUUAUCUUCUCAAACUCAUGUUUAACUUUUGGUUUAAUUUGAUAAUAAUGUGUAACUAAUUUUAUUUUGGCUAGAGGUUAAUUCAAAGCCAUGAAUAUAUUUGUAAUAUGA
rnacentral:lncRNA from 1 species